UUGUUUAAAUGCCUAGGUGCCGAAUCAACCGAAGAAUUAGGAACAUUGAGAGUGUACUUUAUAGGUAACAGGGUUACUCUUUGGAAUGGUGGUGGCGAGGAGGAGGCUUGAUUGGAAAGACCAUUAGCUGUGCUGCGUGUAUUUAAUUCUUUUAGUUAGGAUAGUUGCAGUUAUUUCAUCUUGUAGUUGAGUUGUUAGUGGUUGGUUUUGUUUAGUUUUAUGGUUUAAAGGAUGUUUUAAGGUGGUCAAUUCAUUAUUUUUUUUAGAACAUUAAUUUUGUUAGCUUCUUGAACUCYAGGACUGUAAUCUUCUUUGGAUACUUAUGAAUACAUUUGUUUAAGUUGAUCGAACUUGAGUUAGCUUUUGCUUCGUUGCCA